rnacentral:rRNA from 1 species
CCUACGUGAGGCAGCAGUGGGGAAUAUUGGGCAAUGGGCGCAAGCCUGACCCAGCAACGCCGCGUGAAGGAAGAAGGCUUUCGGGUUGUAAACUUCUUUUCUCAGGGACGAAGAAAGUGACGGUACCUGAGGAAUAAGCCACGGCUAACUACGUGCCAGCAGCCGCGGUAAUACGUAGGUGGCAAGCGUUAGCCGGAUUUACUGGGUGUAAAGGGAGUGUAGGCGGGAAAGCAAGUCAGAUGUGAAACCCACGGGCUCAACCUGUGGCCUGCAUUUGAAACUGGUUUUCUUGAGUACUGGAGAGGCAGACGGAAUUCCUAGUGUAGCGGUGAAAUGCGUAGAUAUUAGGAGGAACACCAGUGGCGAAGGCGGUCUGCUGGACAGCAACUGACGCUGAGGCGCGAAAGCGUGGGGAGCAAACAGGAUUAGAUACCCCUGUAGUC